GCUGACUGUUUCCAGGGGCCCAUCGUGUGU
rnacentral:piRNA from 1 species